rnacentral:misc_RNA from 1 species
UAAUUUAUGUCAAGUUAGAAACACUAGAAAAUAUCAAGAAUUUUCACUAAGCUAGUAAGUAAUUUAGAGAAUUGUAAGGGCCUAAGGGUUAGAAUUAUAACAUCACAGUAAAAUUCCAAGUUUAAGUCCGCCUAAGUAGUUUGCACUUAGUUGGUCCCAAACCCGGAUAAAGGAGGGUUGCGGUAGGUGACAAACAGCGUAAAAAUU